rnacentral:rRNA from 1 species
GACAGAGCGUGCAAACGUUGUUCGGAAUUACUGGGCGUAAAGCGCGUGUAGGCUGCUCAGAAAGUCGGAUGUGAAAGCCCUGGGCUUAACCUAGGAAGUGCAUUCGAAACUUCUGAGCUUGAGUUCUGGAGAGGAAGGCGGAAUUCUCGGUGUAGAGGUGAAAUUCGUAGAUAUCGAGAGGAACACCGGUGGCGAAGGCGGCCUUCUGGACAGUGACUGACGCUGAGACGCGAAAGCGUGGGGAGCAAACAGG